CUUGGUCAUUUAGAGGAAGUAAAAGUCGUAACAAGGUUUCCGUAGGUGAACCUGCGGAAGGAUCAUUAACGAGUUAGGGUCUCUCUGGCCCGACCUCCCAACCCUUUGUCUACUUGACCAUCGUUGCUUCGGCGAGCCCGUCCUCACGGACCGCCGGAGGGAUCUUUACUGGCCCUCUGGUCCGCGCUCGUCGGUAGCCCAACCUUUAAAAUCUUUAACUAAACGUGCCUUAAUCUAAGUACAAUUAUUAAAUAAAAAGCAAAACUUUCAACAACGGAUCUCUUGGUUCUGGCAUCGAUGAAGAACGCAGCGAAAUGCGUUAAGUAAUGCGAAUUGCAGAACUCCAGUGAGUCAUCGAAUCUUUGAACGCACAUUGCGCCCUUUGGUAUUCCGAAGGGCAUGCCUGUUCGAGCGUCAUUAUCACCCCUCAAGCCCUCGGCUUGGUGUUGGACGGUUUGGUGGAGGCCCCCUCGGGGGCUCCUGCCCCUCCCAAAGACAAUGACGGCGGCCUCGUUGGACCCCCGGUACACUGAGUUCUUCACGGGACACGUAUCGGACACAUGGGUUUACGGGACACGGUCUGCCUCCCCUCAGGGAGAAUCUUUCUAAGGUUGACCUCGGAUCAGGUAGGGAUACCCGCUGAACUUAAGCAUAUCAAUAAGCGGAGGAAAAGAAACCAACAGGGAUUGCCUCAGUAACGGCGAGUGAAGCGGCAACAGCUCAAAUUUGAAAUCUGGCCUCUUUGGGGUCCGAGUUGUAAUUUGUAGAGGAUGUUUCGGGUACCGCCUCGGUUUAAAUUUCUUGGAACAGAAUGUCAAAGAGGGUGAGAAUCCCGUCUUGGACCGGCGGUAGGGCCCAUGUGAAACUCCUUCGACGAGUCGAGUUGUUUGGGAAU
rnacentral:sRNA from 1 species